AUCAAUAUAUUUUAAUCUUUCAUUCAUUAUGACAUAAAAGUACGGUAAAAAUAAUUGUAACGUACUAAUGUUUCAUUUAGCAAAAUCUAUAUAUACAUUUUUGCAGCCAUUUUAGCAAAUAAAUCUUGGACUUGGACUUAUUUACAAUCUAAUGCCAUUAGCAUUAAAUCUUUUUUU
rnacentral:sRNA from 1 species